UGUACUAUAAUAGUCUUUAUGUCAAUCAGUGAAGCUUUCAGCUGACAUUCGAGGAACUGCAGACUUGUUAUUCUAUCCUUAACUUAAGCCCUGACAUGCCUGGUAAAUCAUGCGUAUUUUGAAACUCGACAAAGGACACUAGCUCCCAUCGCCAUGCAACCAAGUCUAGUAAAUGCAAAGACGACUAUGAAAACUUUCAUUUCGCGAAGGUUCUCCGAAACUGGCUUUGAAACGCUUGCAACCAACAAGAAAGUUCGCUUCCUUCACCUUUGCAGUUUCGUGUAGUCAUAUGUUUUGCUCGAUGAUUCAAGGAACAUCACGAGGGAUGAUGACGAUCUUGAAGAUGCUUCAAGAGACUGAACUUUUACCUCUUUGAACUGUUUUUUUUGCCUUCUACUUAAUCAAGAAUUAGAUGUUACAUGGACAAGAAUAUUAACAGUAGAAAGACUGUGUAGUUUUGUCAAAGUUUCUUCAAGUAUCUUAUGCGAAAGCUCCUUGUUUACUUGUUUAGGAUGUCACCAGAUAUUUUACAAGGACAUGAAUAUUAACAGUAGAUUGGUUGUUAGGUUUUUUCUAGGUUUCCUUAUGUUUCUUACUUCGUAUGCGAAACCUAUUUUUUCAACGUUUGCACUUUUGUAACAGGAUGAGACUAAAAAAUGGAAUAUUCUUUACUGUGAGAUAAAGGAUGCCUCGAACUUAGAA